GACUUGGGCGGACGGUCUGCCGAUUGGUAUGCACUGUCUGGCCGGGUCUUUCCUUCUGGGGAGCCAGCAUGCUCUUAACUGAGUGUGCUGGGGAUCCAGAACUUUUACUUUGAAAAAAUUAGAGUGUUUAAAGCAGGCCUACGCUUGAAUACAUUAGCAUGGAAUAAUAGAAUAGGGCUGCUGCCCCAUUUUGUUGGUUUCUGGGACCGUAGCA
rnacentral:rRNA from 1 species